UGUCAUAAGAAUUAGGCCACAUAUGAGCAAUUAGGAGGCAUUCAGGAAAUAACUCUUAGGCACUUUCAUCAUCUAGGAAUUUCAUCAAAUUACCUGAAUGUUCAAGUGAAUAAGCCUUACUAUCAUUUCAGUCCAUUCAAAGGCCACAGUCUUGGUGCUUAUAGAAGUUCUGGAGCAGAUCUGAGAGAAGGAUAGCAUAAGAAGUUUAAAUAUAAGCACACAUAGCAAAAUUCUAAUAAUAAUCCUAAAAGUUGAAGUCCUGAUCUUAUCUAAGCGUCUAUAGCUAAAGAAAGCCAGCUGAAAACAUUGAUAGAAAAAUAGAGAGGUUUUGUGCUAUUUUCCCAGUUUUUUUUGAGUUCGGAUCUACCAGAAGUGUUAAUCUAGGUGCAAUAGGAGCUGCUAGCUAGGGCCCAGAGGCUGCCCUGUUCUGCAAAGAGAUAAUAAAGCACUGUUUGAUUGCCUAAUACAGUCCUCACUAGGGAGUCCAGGGAUCACUGGUGUUGAACUAAGCCUCAAAUGGUAGAGCUGAUUAAUGUAGCCAUGGUUCCACAGGCCAGUUAUGGACAGCACCAAUCCAAGGAACAAAUCCUUUUUGCAAUGAUAAUUAUUGGAGGGUAGAUGGGGUAUAAAAAGGGGGCUACUGAGUCUCAUCCAGACCGAUGAGAUUUUGGCUGGAUUUUUCCUUCAGUGAGAACAGUAUCCUAAAAGGCAUGGUCCUGUCACACUACGGCAGCUGUUUAAACAUUCGUAAACCCAUGGUCCCCCUUUGUCAUCACAUGCAAGGAUGUACCCAGAAGAGUGUGGACUCCACCAAGAGUGUGGGUAUUCAUGUUUCGUUUGCAUUGACAGGUUAUGAGCUUAGGGACAUGCUCUAGCCAAGGGUGGAUGGAGUCAUUACAGCCCAUUAAGGGGCCAGGUGACAACCAUCUGGUCCCCGUGCCACAAAAAGCUUGACAUAGAUGGGUGAGAUUGAAUUUCUUACAAAUUUUGGUCAGCCCUUUGCUUCAUGCCAUAGGUGAAGGAAAAAGAGGGAGAGUCCAGGAGGUUGGAAUGUUAGAAUAUACUGGCCUCGCUCAGUGGGUUAAGCAUCCGGUGUUGCCAUGAGCUGUGGUGUAGGUUGCAGAUGCAGCUCAAAUCCCAAGUUGCUUUGGCUCUGGUGUAGGCUGGCAGCUAUAGCUCCCAAUAUACCCCUAGCCUGGGACCUCCCCUAACCUGGGACCCCCUAGCCUGGGACCUCCGUGAGUUUAGCCCUAAAAAAGACCAAAAAAAAGAAGGACCAAAGGAAAUGUCUUAAGCCAAGCCAAUUUUAAGGUCUGCAUAAAUUUUGCCACUUGAGCCUUAAUAAUCCAUCUGUUCUUUCCACCAGACCAAAGGACUAAGGGUCAUGAGGACAGUGACAGUGCUAUAGAAAAGGCCAGACCUCACAAACGUGUUUAAAAAAAUGCCAGUAAAAAUGAAUUCCCUGAUCAUUAUUCAGUUCUGAGAGCAUAGCCCCCAUGUAGAUAAAAGCUUUUCUAACAGAAUUUUUGCAAGCCUUAAAGCAAUAGCUGUCAAGGGAAUGCUUUAAUCCAAUGAGAAAACAUGCAAAUCAUAAUAAGAAUAAAUUUAUAGCCUUGGGAAGGAGGCAAUGUGAAUAAAACCCAUUUGCCAUAUCUUAAAAGGCCCUUUAGGCCUAUCAAAAUGUCCAAGGGGCAGUUUGCAUGGUUUUCCCUGGUUGUUUUUUUUUUUCGGUUUUGGUUUUUGGUUUUUGGGUUUUUGGGUUUUUUUUGUUUGUUUGUUUUUGUUUUUGUUUUUUAGGGCCUCACCUGAGACAUAUGGAAGUUCCCAGGCUAGGGGUCGAAUCAGAGCUGCAGCUGCCGGCCUACACCACAGCCACAACAGUGCCAGAUCCCCCACCCACUGAGCGAGGCUAGGGAUCAAACCUGCAUCCUCAUGGAUACUAGUCAGAUUUGUUUCUGCUGCACCACAACAGGAACCCCUUCUCUGUUUUUUGUUUUUUAAGGAUGUACAGCACAAGCUAAUUGUGCCUUCUUGGUGACCUUAAAAAAAUUUUCCCCAGCAGUAUUGUUUCAUUGAUCUGCUGCUCAGUGGGUCAUCUGAUGAGUCAUUUCCAUCUUUACAUGGACUCUGGUAGGACAGGUCUUCUUUCGGGGCCAUAACUAUAAAUUAGUUAAUGGGCUAAAAAUACAGCCAUUAUCAGCCCAAUAGAGCCUUUACGCAGUGCCUUAGACUGGCUUUAGAUUGGUCUUCUUUGAUCAUUUUUAUUAGAUCCUCUUUCAAAAUGUAGUCAAAAUUCAAUCUAACCUUUUCAGGUUGGGUGGUUCAUGGGACAGCUGUUCUUACAGCCUUAUCAGACGAAUUACUUCCUUUGUUUCCAUCUGAAUUUAAUUUUGAAUGCUCAGGCACCUGAAUGAUGACUGGGGCAGAUGAAGUUGAUUGAUUCCAAUGACUCACAGACCUAACUUUCCUUCUUCAUCUGGUUUCCCUCCUGAAGUCAAGAAUCCUCUUUGUUCCCAAACUGCCAAAGUCAGGAACUGCUGCAAAGUGACGCUCUGUAUAGAUAUUCACAGUUUUACCUUCUGCUGGGGUGCAAGCUCUAGUUAAAGCAUGGAGUUCGGUGUGCCGGGCGGAAGUAGGAGUAGUCAGUGGAGCUGCCUCAGUUACUUCAAAGGAGGAGGUGAUUGCAUACCUGGCACAUUGUUUUCCUUUGCCAUUUUCCAAAUAAGCAUCAAUAAACUGAAAUGUCAGCAUUAGUACUACGCCACAGCUCACAGCAACGCCCAACCCACUGAGCAAGGCCACCCAUGCCAUUGGAUGCCCCUUAUAACCAGCAUGCCAGAGAAACACAGGGCAUCUGCUCACCUCUCUGCCCACCUAUCUUUAAGAGGUGUAUUUCUCACUUAAAUAAAUCCUCACUUUUCUUUCUCAAUUUCCAUCUCAUUUCUGAAUUCCUUCUGCAAAAAGAUAAGAACCUUCCCUUCAGGAACAGUAGUAGGAACAAAAUAUUACUGCUAAUAACAGCAAACUAGACAUCUCAAGGAAUUAAGUGCUUUUCUUUGUAUGGGGCGCUGCAGGGUCUGGGGUCACUGAAAUCAUUCCUUUGAUAUGCACCUCAGCUAUCUGGGGUCUGUAUCCUGUGUUUCACACCCUGAAUUUCCUCAGGGCUCAUUGUCUGUCUGUUGGAAGUGGCUGCAGUCUGUUGGCUGCUAGAUGACAGGUAUGCUUUGUUUCCUUCCUGAGUUCCCUCAGGGCUCACUGGGCUUACCCUUGGAGGUGGCAGCAAUCACUAAUGACUGUGAUAUCUUUUGUUUACUGAUAUAGCAGGCAAUAUUUUAUUUCUCAGGUAGAUAAACCCUGGUGGAAAAAAAAAUGACAUCUGCUUGGAGUUCCCUGGUGGCCUAGCAGAUUAAGGAUCUGGCGUUGUCACUGCUGUGGCAGGGCUUUGACCCCUGGCCCAGGAACUUCUGCAGGCCAAAGGCACCCCCCCCCAAAAAAAUGGCAUCUGCUAAAUCUGCUUUUAUCAUCUGUGUAAAAAAUAGGAAGGACUUUCAGUAUAGCCAGAUGUAUUGUCCUACCCACAUGAAUGCAAAUAAAAAUUGACUUUCAGGAUCUAGGAGGAUGCUGGAAAAGGUACUACAGAGGUCUAUUGUGAAAAAUUUACCCUCUAUAGGUAUUUCUAUUAAAAGGGUAUAAGAGUCAAGGAUGACCAGAUGAUAAGGGAUAACAGCAUUCUAAAUAGCCCUCCAACCUUGGACAAAUCUCCACCCUCUUGGUUCCUCAAUAGGGAGAAUGGAUGUAAUACAGGGACUGUAUUACAUUACUUAUAUUCCUCUGCAGUUGGUUUAAUUCCUCCUAAGUCCUCAGGAUUUAAAGGUUAUUGUCUAGAGUUCCCGUCGUGGCACAGAGGAAAUGAAUCUGACCAGGAACCACGAGGUUGUGGGUUCCAUCCCUGGCCUCGCUCAGUGGGUUAAGGAUCUGGCGUUGCUGUGAGCUGUGGCGUAGGUUGCAGACGCGGCUCAGAACUUGCGUUGCUGUGGCUGUGGUGUAGGCUGGCAGCUGUAGCUCCGAUUAGACCCCUAGCCUGGGAACCUCCAUAUGCUUCAGAUGCGGCCCUAAAAAGCAAAAUAAAUAAAAUAAAUAAAGGUGAUUGUUUAUUGCUUAGGAGAGGUUUACCAGGGUUGAUUUGAGUUCCACUUGGGGGAGCUGAAUGAAUGUUGCACGUAGUCUGCCCAGAAUUUCUCAGGGACUUCGUUGAGGAGUUUUAAGUGUAUGUUAUCUUGUAAGUUUACCCUAAGGGCAAAAACUGCUAAUAGGGUUGAGGAGUUUGGAAUCCCAUGAGUUGUUGAGGGGGUUGAAUCUCCCACUUUUGAGAAAAAGUGAAGACAACAUGAUAUUUCUCUUAAAAGUCUCAUUCUAGGAGGUCGGCAGGAGCAGGACUGACCAGUAGGAAGGAAUGAUUGACCUGGAGGGGGCCCAGCUGGAAAGAAAAGGGAAGAGACUUAUAAAUCGUAGGUUUGCUAGAUACUCUCAACAUUUGAGUAUCUCCGUGCUCUGAGGACGGAUUUGUUUGAGGUUGGAGGGGUUGAGCAAAGUGUGGCUCUCGUGUCAGUUAAGACAGUAAGGAGCUCAUUUCCAAUGAUAAGGGAAUUUUUACCCUGAUGAUUAAGGGGAAGGACUGGAAAAAACCCUUGUUUGUCCCGAGCAGGCUCAGUCCCUGAGAGGAGCUGAAGGCUGAACGUGGGAGCAUUGUUUAACAUCUUUCAGUUUAAGGCAAGUCUUUUUCCAAUGACCGGGCUUCUUACACAAAUGACAGACAUUUUUAGAGUUUGAAGGCUUUGAUUUAGUUUGUUGAAGCCUCUGGGAGGAGUCUGAUAGCUGUCAAAACAGUAAAUUUAUUAUUUUAGUGGCCUUUCGCUUAUUUGAAUUUUGAAUGGUCCAGGCCAGUUGGUUUGCUAGAUUAACCAAAUCAGGAGCUGCCAUGGCUUCCCAUUUGAACUGGGCUCGCUUUACUAGAAUUGUGAGGUUUUCUUCUCAGCCACUUGUGAACAUGGAAUUAAAGACUCCCUUAGUGGACUCUGCUUCUAUGGAGAGUCCAGGAUUUUCCUUUAGAACCAUUCCAAGUCUGUUGUAACGGUCACGCACAAGUUCAUCAGUCCUUGGGUGUGUGCCUGGAUUUGUUCCAAUCAAUGAAUGGGUUUGGGGAAGGUCUGAGCAAUGGCUGGCUUCAUAUACAGUUUUUGCUAUGUCUUGGGCUUUAGAGCUGUCUGUUGUUAGGACGGCGGAGUGGAGAGAAACAGAGUCUGGUGCAGUGAGAUCACAAGCAGGUUUAAAGACCAACAGAGUGGCCAUGAGCACUGAGCAGAGAGAACUCAGGCUCCCCGCUCUAGGGGCAAGGGCUUUUUUAUGGUUAGGGUUUUGUGUGAUGUCUUCUCAAGGAAAAAGGGGAAGAGGGCUUGGGAAACAGGGAAAGAGGAUUUAGGUUAUUAAGUGUCAAUUUUAACAGUCCUUUUGGCUUUAUUUUGAGGCUUAACAGCGCCUUAAAUUAUCUUGGUCCUAGAGCCUUCAUCCAUGUUGGAGUCUGUUUCCUAUUUGUUUGGUCAGCUGAAAUCGUGUCUGGAGCUUGGAUGGAAUCUUGAUAUGGCUGAUUUCAUGUCUUCUGUUUUGAACUUGCUCUCCAUGUAAGAGACACCACAUAACAUCUGUCACCUGGCAUGGUCCAUUGAAGAACCUCUAAAGGAUGAUUCCAGCCAGCUUUAGCCUUCCAGAGUUGUGCCUGACCUUCUCCCAAGAGCUUGUGGACUAAUUGAUAAAAGAUCAGGAAACCCAGACUCAUAGAUUUUAAUGACAGUGUUAAAUUCCUCUGCAAAACAGUGACGUCCUCAGUAACCUUGGGAAAUUUUUUUUGGCUACAGCUGGCAAUUCUGCCUUAGUCCAAAAAUGUGUAAAUUACAUUCAUUUUUGGGUUUCUAUUUAAAUGGAUGAGUUUGAACUGGUCAAAUGGAAGAGGUUGGGGGUGGAGGAUCAAGGAGGGGUCUCAGGUCUUGGGGAUAAAAAGGGAGUUUAGCAAGUUAAGGGGGAAAGAAAAAAGGAGACAUCCUGGAGUGGAAGACAGACUUGAAAAGAAGGAGGGAGUGAUAGAGAAAAGUUUUGAACCUUUUGUAACUGAGAAAUCUUUUCAGGAAGUUUAGAAUUUGUGUCUUUGAGGGAAAUGAUUCUGGGGAUCAGAAAUUGCAAUCCAGGGAGUUCCCCUUAUGGUGCAGCAGAAACAAAUCCGACUAGGAACCAUGAGGUUGUGGGUUUGAUCCCUGGCCUUGCUCAGUGGGUUAAGGAUCCGGAGUUGCCAUGAGCUGGCAGCAACAGCUCCGGUUAGACCCCUAGCCUGAGAACCUCCAUAUGCCAUGGGAAGUGGCCCUA
rnacentral:lncRNA from 1 species